CCUACGGGGGGCUGCAGUAAGGGAUCUUGGGCAAUGGGCGAAAGCCUGACCCAGCGACGCCGCGUGCGGGAGGAAGUCCUUCGGGAUGUAAACCGCUGUCAGGGGUAAGAAAGUCCGUUUCGGCGGAUUGAUCGAACCCAGAGGAAGUCACGGCUAACUCUGUGCCAGCAGCCGCGGUAAGACAGAGGUGGCUAGCGUUGUUCGGUAUCACUGGGCUUAAAGCGUGUGUAGGCGGAAGCGUAAGCAUUUUGUGAAAUCCCCCGGCUCAACCGGGGAAUCGCUUGAUGUACUGCGUUUCUUGAGGCAGGUAGGGGUGCGAGGAACUCUUGGUGGAGCGGUGGAAUGCGUAGAUAUCAAGAGGAACGCCGGUGGUGAAGACGUCGCACUGGGCCUGUCCUGACGCUGAGACACGAAAGCGUGGGGAGCGAACGGGAUUAGAUACCCGAGUAGUC
rnacentral:rRNA from 1 species